GUCGGCCGACCGGGCGGGUGCCCGUUUUCGGCCGCCUUUUUUUUUUUUUUUUUUCCGGGGGGGAAGUUUUUCCCCACGGGACACCUCGCGGAGGACGACUGAGGGAGAGAGACCAACCCAUCUCAGAGCGAGGGUCUGUCAGCUGCCAAAUAAAGAAGAUGGAGGAACCUGCCCACACAAAAGACUUGUAAACCAGUAAAGGGGUGCUGUCUGGAGCAGAGAUGAGGUCAAGAAGGUCAGUGCAGGGUUGGAUUUUAAUUUGGCAAAGGAUUCGGAAAAUAAUAAUAAGGGUUUUUACAGGUUUCUAGAAGUGUGUUGAACAGAAAAGAAAAUGCAUACACCACACCCUCCACACUCUCCUGAUAAGUGAGACGGGGAACUAGAGGCAACUGUCAUGAAGGAGGCUGAGGCAGGGCAGCUUCUCCAAAGCCGUACAAACAGAUGUCGGCCCCGGACCAGAAGUCCUCCAAGCCCACUCUAAAGAUGGCGCUGCCGAGACCGGAAAUCAUCCAAGGCAGCACUAAAGAUGGCGGCCCCGGAGCGGAAGUUGCAGAAAGCCACAUCAAAGAUGACACUGCCCACACCGGGAGUCCUCGGAAGCCACGCUGAAGAUGGCAGAGUGAGGCUCCCUGCCUCAGAGAGGCAACUACCCUAUUGCCUGAGCUCCACCCCGUCCCCGACCCCCACCCCACGCUCGCAGCGCCGUCUCGCCGCGGUGCUUCCCACUAUGGGGACAGGGCGGGGCAGCGGGACAGGGCGCUCGGCAGCGCCGGACGCGGGC